rnacentral:misc_RNA from 1 species
GGCCGGAUAAGGCGUUUACGCCGCAUCCGGCAACAGUGCC